rnacentral:rRNA from 1 species
AGAGCGAACGCUGGCGGCAGGCCUAACACAUGCAAGUCGAGCGCCCGUAGCAAUACGGGAGCGGCAGACGGGAGAGUAACACGUGGGAACGCGCCCUUCGGUUCGGAAUAACUCAGGGAAACUUGAGCUAAUACCGGAUACGCCCUUACGGGGAAAGAUUUAUUGCCGAAGGAACGGCCCGCGUCCGAUUAGCUUGUUGGUGAGGUAACGGCUCACCAAGGCGACGAUCGGUAGCUGGUCUGAGAGGAUGACCAGCCUCACUGGGACUGAGACACGGCCCAGACUCCUACGGGAGGCAGCAGUGGGGAAUAUUGGACAAUGGGCGCAAGCCUGAUCCAGCCAUGCCGCGUGGAUGAUGAAGGCCCUAGGGUUGUAAAGUCCUUUUAACGGGGAAGAUAAUGACGGUACCCGUAGAAUAAGCCCGGCUAACUUCGCGCCAGCAGCCGC